GAUGAACGCUGGCGGCGUGCUUAACACAUGCAAGUCGAACGGAAAGGCUCCUGCUUGCAGGGGUACUCGAGUGGCGAACGGGUGAGUAACACGUGGGUGAUCUGCCCUGCACUUCGGGAUAAGCCUGGGAAACUGGGUCUAAUACCGGAUAGGACGAUGGUUUGGAUGCCAUUGUGGAAAGUUUUUCGGUGUGGGAUGAGCUCGCGGCCUAUCAGCUUGUUGGUGGGGUAAUGGCCUACCAAGGCGUCGACGGGUAGCCGGCCUGAGAGGGUGUACGGCCACAUUGGGACUGAGAUACGGCCCAGACUCCUACGGGAGGCAGCAGUGGGGAAUAUUGCACAAUGGGCGCAAGCCUGAUGCAGCGACGCCGCGUGGGGGAUGACGGCCUUCGGGUUGUAAACUCCUUUCGCUAGGGACGAAGCGCAAGUGACGGUACCUGGAGAAGAAGCUCCGGCUAACUACGUG
rnacentral:rRNA from 1 species